AUACGGAGGGGGUUAGCGUUGUUCGGAAUUACUGGGCGUAAAGCGCACGUAGGCGGAUUGGAAAGUUGGGGGUGAAAUCCCAGGGCUCAACCCUGGAACUGCCUCCAAAACUAACAGUCUAGAGUUCGAGAGAGGUGAGUGGAAUUCCAAGUGUAGAGGUGAAAUUCGUAGAUAUUUGGAGGAACACCAGUGGCGAAGGCCGCUCACUGGCUCGAUACUGACGCUGAGGUGCGAAAGCGUGGGGAGCAAACAGGAUUAGAUACCCUAGUAGUCC
rnacentral:rRNA from 1 species